AGUGAACGCUGGCGGUAGGCCUAACACAUGCAAGUCGAACGGCAGCACAGUAAGAGCUUGCUCUUACGGGUGGCGAGUGGCGGACGGGUGAGGAAUACAUCGGAAUCUACUUUUUCGUGGGGGAUAACGUAGGGAAACUUACGCUAAUACCGCAUACGACCUACGGGUGAAAGCAGGGGAUCUUCGGACCUUGCGCGAUUGAAUGAGCCGAUGUCGGAUUAGCUAGUUGGCGGGGUAAAGGCCCACCAAGGCGACGAUCCGUAGCUGGUCUGAGAGGAUGAUCGGCCCCGCUGGAACGGAAACCCGGUCCGGACUCCAACGGGGGGCAGCAGUGGGAAAUAUUGGACAAUGGGCGAAAGCCGGACCCGGCCAUACCGCGUGGUUGAAGAAGGCCUCGGGGUUGUAAAGCCCUUUUGUGGGGAAAAAAAAGCGGCAGGUCAAUACCCCGCUUUUCGAACGGAACCAAAGAAUAAGCACCGGCUAACUUCGUG
rnacentral:rRNA from 1 species